GAGAUUACCUAGCUGCUCGCAACUGUUGGAUAGCCAGGACAAGUAUCGUAGGUACCAUUGUAGACGCAGUCCAGGAGCAUUGAUUGCCAUGACUGUAGCAGACGCGUCGAUAGCGCCUCGAAUGAACGUUCCGCGGAAGAGAAUGUCCGUACUCAAGGAGACCGCUACUACGGCAGCGCGCGCGUAACGUAGGAUAGAGGUGGUCCGGAAUUAUGGCGUAAAGGCUCGUAGUGGUGGUUCACGUUGUGUUUGAAACGCACCCUAACGUGCCGUGCAGUGGGUACCGGCCGGACUAGGGUGCAGAAGGGGAGUCUGAAUUCCUGUGUGAGGCGGGGAAUGCGGCAGAUAUACAGGAGGAACACCGUUGGCGAAGGCGGGACUUCUGGGCUGUAACUGACCACUGAGGGCGAAAGCAUGGGGGAGCGGACAAGAAUAGAUACCUGGUAGUCCAUGCCGUAAACGUUGGGCACUAGGUGUGGGGGACAUUCCACGUUCUCCGCGCCGUAGCUAACGCAUUAAGUGCCCCGCCUGGGGAGUACGGUCGCAAGGCUAAAACUCAAAGGAAUUGACGGGGGCCCGCACAAGCGGCGGAGCAUGCGGAUUAAUUCGAUGCAACGCGAAGAACCUUACCAAGGCUUGACAUACACUGGACCGUUCUGGAAACAGUUCUUCUCUUUGGAGCUGGUGUACAGGUGGUGCAUGGUUGUCGUCAGCUCGUGUCGUGAGAUGUUGGGUUAAGUCCCGCAACGAGCGCAACCCUCGUUCUAUGUUGCCAGCACGUGAUGGUGGGAACUCAUAGGAGACUGCCGGGGUCAACUCGGAGGAAGGUGGGGAUGACGUCAAAUCAUCAUGCCCUUUAUGUCUUGGGCUUCACGCAUGCUACAAUGGCUGGUACAGAGAGAGGCGAACCCGUGAGGGUAAGCGAAUCCCUUAAAGCCAGUCUCAGUUCGGAUCGUAGUCUGCAAUUCGACUACGUGAAGUCGGAGUCGCUAGUAAUCGCAGAUCAGCAACGCUGCGGUGAAUACGUUCCCGGGCCUUGUACACACCGCCCGUCAAGUCACGAAAGUCGGUAACACCCGAAGCCGGUGUCCCAACCCACUUGUGGGAGGGGGCCGUCUAAGGUGGGACUGGUGAUUGGGACUAAGUCGUAACAAGAGCGACC
rnacentral:rRNA from 1 species